UCCGCAUUAGUGUAGGGGUUAACAUACUCCGCUUUCACCGGAGAGCCCCGGGUUCGAUUCCCGGAUGCGGAA
rfam:Blumeria graminis f. sp. hordei DH14, WGS project CATH01000000 data, contig: 003691